CUAAAAGAUGGAUUACAGGGAAGAGUUUUUUUAAAUUUAAUAAUUGAAGUUAUUUUAAUUUGUGAAGAAACAAUUAUAUAAAUUAAAGACAAGAAGACCCUAAGAAUUUAAGAAUUUUUAUUAAUAUAUUAUAUGUAUAUAUAUAAAUAAAAUUCUUAGUUGGGGCAACUAAAAAAUAUAUUAAACUUUUUUUUUAAAAAAAUGACCCAUUAUUAAUGAUAAUAUGAAAAAAAUACUCUAGGG
rnacentral:rRNA from 1 species